UCAGCAAUGCAUCCUUCAGGCCAAUUAUGAUUGCGAACAUAUCCUUUAAGAACUUUCAUAUACCUCUCAAAUGGGUACAUCCACCUAAAGUAAACUGGACCACAUAGUCGCACCUCCCUUAUCAAAUGCACUGUUAAAUGAAGCAUAAUAUUUAAAAAAAUGAAGGUGGAAAAUACUUUUCAAGUAAGCACAACGUGACCACUAACUCAUUAUGUACUUCAUUCAAUUUUGGCACAUCAACCACUUUUAUACAUAAUUUAUUGAAGAAGAUACACAAUCUUGAUAUAGUAUAUCUCACAUGCUUUGGC
rnacentral:lncRNA from 1 species